rnacentral:piRNA from 2 species
UUCUUCAGUUCGUGUUUCUGGGAGAGCGC